GAUGAACGCUGGCGGCGUGCCUAAUACAUGCAAGUCGAGCCAACAGACGAGAAGCUUGCUCCUCUGACGUUAGCGGCGGACGGGUGAGUAACACGUGGAUAACCUACCUAUAAGACUGGGAUAACUUCGGGAAACCGGAGCUAAUACCGGAUAAUAUAUUGAACCGCAUGGUGCAAUAGUGAAAGACGGUUUUGCUGUCACUUAUAGAUGGAUCCGCGCCGCAUUGGCUAGUUGGUAAGGUAACGGCUUACCAAGGCAACGAUGCGUAGCCGACCUGAGAGGGUGAUCGCCCACCCUGGAGCUGAGACACGGUCACGACUACUACGGGAGGCAGCAGUAGGGAAUCUUCCGCAAUGGUCGAAAGUAUUACGGAGCGACGCCGCGUGAGUUGUGAAGGUCUUCGGAUCGUAAUAAUCGGUUAUUAGGUAAGAACCAAUGUGUGAGUAACUAUGCCCGACUUGACGGUACCUAAUCAGAAAGCCACGGCUAACUACGUG
rnacentral:rRNA from 1 species